AUGAGUAAUGAAAAUUUUGAAAAGGUAAAACUUGAUAAUUUAUGCAUAUUUAAAGAAGAAAAACAAAACAUGAUUUGUAAUAAUGAUGAUAUAAAUAAUUGUGAAAAAGUAGUUAACACGGAUGUUAAAAAUAUAAAUACAGAAGUUUUUAAAAAAGAAAGCGAAGGACAAAAAUAUGUAGAAUUAUUAAAACAAAUAAAAGAAGAAAAUGAAAUAGAUGAUAUAAAAUAUAGCUUUAUAAACAUCAACAAUAAUAGUAAUAAAUGUAGAAAUAGUAAAGAAGAUAGUCUCUAUAUAAAAAAAAAACAACAUGAAUACAAUUAUGGUAAUAAUAAAAAUAUAUAUGAAAUGCUAGGUGAGGAAAUAAACGGAUUAUUGAAUGUAUAUAGCAGUCGAGAACAUAAUAAUAACGAAUAUAACAACAACGAAUAUAAUAAUAGCAACUAUAAUAAUCGCAAAUAUAACAAUCGCAAAUAUAGCAAUCGCAAAUAUAAUAAUCGCAAAUAUAAUAAUCGCAAAUAUAAUAAUCGCAAAUAUAAUGCAUAUGCAAAUUAUUCUGAUUAUGAAAAUUCCGAUAAAAUUGAACAUUACAAUAUAAUGUCAAGUACAGAAAAUGUAAUGUCUUCAAGCAAUAGCAUAACAGAAAUGUAUGAAAGCAAUUACAAUUUAUUCGUAGUAAAUAAUUCUGAUAAUAUGAGUGAAAUAUCAACCCCAUCUUUUAAUUCACAAGAGAAUUUACCAUUAAGCUAUUGUUCUAAUAAACAAAAAAAAAUGUUAGUUAAAAAUAAUAAAAAAAUAAAAAACUGUGUAAGACAUUGUGAGAAUGAAUUACUAAACCCAAUAACAAAAAAUAAAAAAUCAAACAUUUUGGAUAAUUGUAUUAGCUUAAAGGAAAGUAAAAAAAAAGAGUCAUUUUUUCCAUACUAUAUAAAUUACAAUAAUUUUGAAAAAAGAGAAAAUAAAAAAUGCACAGAAAAAAAAAUAAUGAAUUUUAAUCCUCUAACAUAUAUUACAAAUACAAACAAUAAUCCUAAUAUGAACAAUUUUUAUUAUGAUUAUUAUGACAAUUUAAAAAAAUAUAAUAAUUUUUUUUAUAAUUAUAAUUACUGUAACAAUUGUAAUGCUGAAUUACAAAAUAACUCUUUUACAACGUCACAUAAUACAUAUGCUAGACAGUUGAAAGAAUAUAAUAAAAUGGAAAAUGAAUUACAUGAUUUAAAAAGUCAUUAUUCAUUGGAAUGUGAAAAAUUGUUUAAAAAAACAUUCUUAACCAAACAAUCAUGUAAUUUAAAAACAAAUGUUAAAAAGCAAUUCAAUAAUAAUUACAAUUUUCCUGUUUUUACAAAAUGCAAAUCGAAAAAACACGAAGGAAGCAAAAAAAUGAAUACGAAUUUUUUUAUUUUAAAACGUAAAAAAAAUAAUAUGUUAUAUGAUAUUGAUAAUUUUUAUAAAUUUAAAAAUGUAAAAUUUGAUAAGUGUUUAAAUAAUAAUGUCCAAUACAAACCUUAUAAAAAUGUGAUGUAUUGUAAAAAAAUAAAUAGCACAAGCAAAGGUAAAUAUUUGGUUAAAAAGGGUAAAUUCAUGAGACUAGUUAAAAAUCUCAAAUUAUUGGGGUAUGUACUGCUUUUGGGUUUUUUUUUCAGUAAAACCGACAAAACACUAAAAGAAACGUAA
rnacentral:lncRNA from 1 species